UACGUAGGGACCAAGCGUUGUUCGGAUUUACUGGGCGUAAAGGGCGCGUAGGCGGCUUAACAAGUCACUUGUGAAAUCUCCGGGCUUAACUCGGAACGGCCAAGUGAAACUGUCAAGCUAGAGUGCAGAAGGGGCAAUCGGAAUUCCCGGUGUAGCGGUGAAAUGCGCAGAUAUCGGGAGGAACACCGGUGGCGAAGGCGGUUCUCUGGGCCUUACCUGACGCUGAGGAGCGAAAGCGUGGGGAGCGAACAGG
rnacentral:rRNA from 1 species